AGGUGGGGAUUAGUGCCAUUAC
rnacentral:miRNA from 1 species